CCUACGGGUGGCUGCAGUGAGGAAUAUUGGUCAAUGGGCGCGAGCCUGAACCAGCCAAGUCGCGUGAGGGAUGAAGGUUCUAUGGAUCGUAAACCUCUUUUAUAAGGGAAUAAAGUGUGGGACGUGUCCUAUUUUGUAUGUACCCUAUGAAUAAGGAUCGGCUAACUCCGUGCCAGCAGCCGCGGUAAUACGGAGGAUCCGAGCGUUAUCCGGAUUUAUUGGGUUUAAAGGGUGCGUAGGCGGCCUUUUAAGUCAGCGGUGAAAGUCUGUGGCUCAACCCUAGAAUUGCCGUUGAAACUGGGGGGCUUGAGUGUGUGAGAGGCAGGCGGAAUGCGUGGUGUAGCGGUGAAAUGCUUAGAUAUCACGCAGAACCCCGAUUGCGAAGGCAGCCUGCCAGGGCAUAACUGACGCUGAUGCACGAAAGCGUGGGGAUCAAACAGGAUUAGAUACCCGAGUAGUC
rnacentral:rRNA from 1 species